GUUUCAGGAUACUAGGGUGCUAGAUCUCCUCUGGGCACAACUUUGUGGCUUCUGUGUCACCACUAUCUGUUACAAGUUGCACCUGGAAGGUUGGAAAAGACACUAGAACAUGGGGGGAGCAAGCUCCAUCCCAGAGGAAAGUCCGUUGUGCUGCAUCCUCCAGAGCUGGAAAGCUUUCAGUGCUCCAGACACCCGUAGGAAACUCUGAAAGUUGGCUAUCGGUCCUGAUGCCAGUCCUGUACAACUACGAGAGGCUGCAUUGAGGGUGCUCCAUGACCAGCAUGAGGCUGAGGAUGAAAAGGAAGACAAGAAGAUGAAAAGGGAGGGACAUGCUAUCUAAGUUAGGGGCCUCAACAAGCUGGGAACAAGAGAAAAUCGAGAUCCAGGUGCCCAGGAGUCGGGGAGGUGAGUGAUGGCCCUCUUACAGGAUACAGCAGCUCUGGAAAAGGA